rnacentral:rRNA from 1 species
CAGUCGCCGCGGUAAUACGAAGGGGGCUAGCGUUGCUCGGAAUGACUGGGCGUAAAGGGCGCGUAGGCGGAUCACGCAGUCAGAUGUGAAAUUCCUGGGCUUAACCUGGGGGCUGCAUUUGAGACGCGUGGUCUAGAGUGUGAAAGAGGGUCGUGGAAUUCCCAGUGUAGAGGUGAAAUUCGUAGAUAUUGGGAAGAACACCGGUGGCGAAGGCGGCGACCUGGUUCAUAACUGACGCUGAGGCGCGAAAGCGUGGGGAGCAAACAGGAUUAGAUACCCGAGUAGUCCCUGUCUCUUAUAA